rnacentral:rRNA from 1 species
UGAGGAAUAUUCCACAAUGGGCGAAAGCCUGAUGGAGCGACGCCGCGUGCGGGAUGAAGCCCUUUGGGGUGUAAACCGCUUUUUCAGGGGAUGAUACGUGCCGCAAGGCACUAAGACAGUACCUUGAGAAUAAGCAUCGGCUAACUACGUGCCAGCAGCCGCGGUAAUACGUAGGAUGCAAGCGUUGUCCGGAUUUACUGGGCGUAAAGCGCGCGCAGGCGGUCCAAUAAGUAUGGCGUGAAAUCUCCCUGCUCAACGGGGAGGGUGCGUUGUAGACUGUGGGACUUGAGGUCGGUAGAGGGGGGUGGAAUUGCUGGUGUAGCGGUGAAAUGCGUAGAGAUCAGCAGGAACACCCGUGGCGAAGGCGGCCCCCUGGGCCGUACCUGACGCUGAGGCGCGAAGGCUAGGGGAGCGACCCG